AGAAGAAAAUCGCUCCGUCAGAAGCGAUUUUAGCCUUUUGGAUAAAAAAAUUUUGAUGUGCCAUUUUUAUUUAU